GAUGAACGCUGGCGGCGUGCUUAACACAUGCAAGUCGAACGGAAAGGCCCAAGCUUGCUUGGGUACUCGAGUGGCGAACGGGUGAGUAACACGUGGGUGAUCUGCCCUGCACUUCGGGAUAAGCCUGGGAAACUGGGUCUAAUACCGGAUAGGACCACAUUUUGGAUGGUGUGGUGGAAAGUUUUUCGGUGUGGGAUGAGCUCGCGGCCUAUCAGCUUGUUGGUGGGGUAAUGGCCUACCAAGGCGUCGACGGGUAGCCGGCCUGAGAGGGUGUACGGCCACAUUGGGACUGAGAUACGGCCCAGACGCCUACGGGAGGCAGCAGUGGGGAAUAUUGCACAAUGGGCGCAAGCCUGAUGCAGCGACGCCGCGUGGGGGAUGACGGCCUUCGGGUUGUAAACUACUUUCGCUAGGGACGAAGCGCAAGUGACGGUACCUGGAGAAGAAGCACCGGCUAACUACGUG
rnacentral:rRNA from 1 species